GACGAACGCUGGCGGCGUGCUUAACACAUGCAAGUCGAACGGGAGUAUUGAAGAAGCUUGCUUUAGAGAUACUUUAGUGGCGGACGGGUGAGUAACGCGUGAGGAGCUGUCCGAUGCAGGGGGACAACAGUUGGAAACGACUGCUAAUACCCCAUAAGCCGAGAGGUAAAAGGAUUUAUCCGGCAAUGGAGGUACUCGCGUCCUAUCAGCUAGUAGGUGAGGUAACGGCUCACCUAGGCGAAGACGGGUAGCCGGCCUGAGAGGGCGAACGGCCACACUGGAACUGAGAUACGGUCCAGACUCCUACGGGAGGCAGCAGUGGGGAAUAUUGGGCAAUGGGGGGAACCCUGACCCAGCGACGCCGCGUGGGUGAAGAAAUCCUUCGGGAUGUAAAGCCCUGUUGUAUGGGAAGAGCGGAAGACGGUACCAUACGAGGAAGCCCCGGCAAACUACGUG
rnacentral:rRNA from 1 species